GAGGCAUAUUGUAACAUCCCUCUAGCACCCUCUGGUGUCCUAUUCACUGCACGCCUUUUUGAGUUCAUUAUUUGCUGUUUUGAUAGCUAUUUGCAAAGGAGCUCUUUGGGAAACCACUAAUGUGUCUGCUGGGGAAUGCCUCGUCUAAGAAAACCAAAUACCUGGAUCUUACAACCUGACUGUGUGCUAAUUAUGCCCACACACAAGGUUUACUUCUCUUUGGGGAGCCAGAGGCGUCAUUGCACUUAUUAGAGUCACACAGCCUUAAUCACAAAUGCAGAAGGAAGAGGUUCCGGGUAACUGAACUGGCCAAAUGAUGUGAUCAAGUAUCAACUAAGUAUUUAAUGUACAUCGAGGAGCCAAGAGACAAUUAGAAACACAUAAUGCAAAUUUGGUUCAUGAAGUGUUGAUAAAGAAGAAGACGUGAAAAACAGCCAAGAGGAAACAACUAAAAAUCAGCAAAAAGCUGACUUUAAGGACUUUAAGUAACGGACUUUAAGGAUUACACAGGCAUGUAGUUAAAGUGCAAAUGAGAGCAAAUGUUUGUUCUAUCCAUGCUUCGUGCUGUGAGGAGGAAAUGUGAAAAAUAAAAAUGACUCUUCUUGGCUA